rnacentral:rRNA from 1 species
CACGCCGUAAACGGUGGGUACUAGGUGUGGGUUUCCUUCCUUGGGAUCCGUGCCGUAGCUAACGCAUUAAGUACCCCGCCUGGGGAGUACGGCCGCAAGGCUAAAACUCAAAGAAAUUGACGGGGGCCCGCACAAGCGGCGGAGCAUGUGGAUUAAUUCGAUGCAACGCGAAGAACCUUACCUGGGUUUGACAUGCACAGGACGCCAGUAGAGAUAUUGGUUCCCUUGUGGCCUGUGUGCAGGUGG